rnacentral:lncRNA from 1 species
CACUCGGCUCUCUGUCGCAUUACCGUACAGACAGGAGGAGAAGCUCGCAGGCAAUUAACUUAAUAUGGCGUACUGGCGUUACAUUUUAAAAUACUAUACAAAAUAAUUAAUCAGAAUACUUACUCCUGCUCACUCACGCCAAAGAACUCCCCGCUCAAGCUCGCCGUCUCUGCAAGAUUAACGAUGGCAGUUUGCACGCACAGCCACUUAGAAGAUUUACAUCUGGCAGACAGGUUGCUGACGUCGUCAAGCUUCGUUUGAGUCUGCGCGUCAGAAACGGAAGUGCUAAAAAACGCUAAAAAUGGGCUUCACUUGUCUCAAUUGAGUUCCAAUGGGGUCGCUGUGUCCAUUUCUUUUACUGUCUAUGGAUCAGACACAUGAACGCGAGUCACUCGCUACAGUCUCUUCAACAUGGCCGAUCAAGAGGAGUAAAGACAGGACAGUGAGGCAGCAAAUGACAGACUAAUCCACUUUCUGAAGCUUGGAUUACCCCAGGAAAACAUCAGUAACAUUUUAGGUGUCACUCACACAACUAUUGUUCGUCGGAUGAGAGAAUGUGUUUGGCCAGAGAGAGAAUCCAAUAAUUAACCCUGAGGUAAUUAUUUCCUCUUACAAUGCUUUAUUGGUUUUGCUCUGUUAGAUUAACCCCGCAUAUUUAAAAUGAUUUAUUUGUUUACAUUUAGAUGGAGUAGUAUUCAGACUCAAUGGCAGUUGAACAAGAUGGUGGAGAUGCUGACCAUGUUCACUUUGCAGUCAAAUUGCCUGUAAUUCACAGGCCACAACUCACAAAUUGACCCACUGCAAGUGUCUGAUUCAUUUGGAGUAGAUGUAUACCUCAAGACUCUCAAAUAUGUACAGACUUUGAUCGAAGAAAGGGAUAUUUGAAGUUUUAUUUCUGCUGCUCUAAUUUUGACAGCAAGGUUGUAAAUGUGUAUAUAUAGUUGUAUCUUAAGUAAAACUUGUGGAAACAACCUUUUAAGACAUGUAAAAUAAAGACAGACUCUGAAAAAUAAUUACAUUUGUUUUAAAAUGUUAUUGAAGUACUUUUUUAUUAUUAUUACUUGUACAUAGAAAAAAAAAUUACAUA